rnacentral:lncRNA from 1 species
UGGGGUUACGAGCGAUGUGGAUGGCUGCUUUGCUAUCAGAAUGGAGAGGAAUUGGUAAAGAAAUCAAGGCAGAGAGAUCCUCAAGCAAAUGCACUAACAAUGUACGUUCUGCAGUAACCCUUCUCAUAGAUCUAUAUUCUGCUUCUGCUGAAGAUAAAGAAAUUGAUACUUGUUUCUUUGAUUUCCAUGAAAUAGGUGCUCCUCCAAGAGUUAUGAAAAAACCACUGACGGAUCUUCUUGAAUCUUUGCAAGAUGCCCAAUCAGCAUCACAAAAAGCCAACAAGGAAAAAGAUGGUUCAGCUGAAAGAAGAAUACCUUAUCCUGGAUCAGAGCUGAGGUAUCUGAGGACUCGUAGAGCGGCAGUGAAAUGAAAAACACAAGGCUUCCUCAUGUAUUGACUGAGGGUGAGUACAGCAAAUGAAAGAUCAUGUCUAGUGUUUGUUAAAUAGUUUAGCUUUCCGACUAAAUGAUGAAAUACAGUGGGAUUGUGCAGAGGUUGACUGUCAUCCGCUUGAAGCUUGGAAGCGGGAUCCAAAGGAGAGCUGACUCUGGCUAAAUGUGAAACAUCAAAUUUCUUCAACAUAUCUAAGGUAAACUUCCUUUGACUCAUAAUGAAUCCUCCCUUUUCUCUCAAGAUUUCCAUACCUAG